rnacentral:rRNA from 1 species
GACGAACGCUGGCGGCGUGCUUAACACAUGCAAGUCGAACGGAAAGACCCUGCUUUUGUGGGGUGCUCGAGUGGCGAACGGGUGAGUAACACGUGAGUAACCUGCCCUUGACUUUGGGAUAACUUCAGGAAACUGGGGCUAAUACCUGAUAGGAGCUCCUGCUGCAUGGUGGGGGUUGGAAAGUUUCGGCGGUUGGGGAUGGACUCGCGGCUUAUCAGCUUGUUGGUGGGGUAGUGGCUUACCAAGGCUUUGACGGGUAGCCGGCCUGAGGGGGUGACCGGCCACAUUGGGACUGAGAUACGGCACAGACUCCUACGGGAGGCAGCAGUGGGGAAUAUUGCACAAUGGGCGGAAGCCUGAUGCAGCAACGCCGCGUGCGGGAUGACGGCCUUCGGGUUGUAAACCGCUUUCGCCUGUGACGAAGCGUGAGUGACGGUAAUGGGUAAAGAAGCACCGGCUAACUACGUG